rnacentral:rRNA from 1 species
UAGGGAAUCUUCGGCAAUGGACGAAAGUCUGAUCGAGCAACGCCGCGUGAGUGAAGAAGGUUUUCGGAUCGUAAAACUCUGUUGUUAGAGAAGAACAAGGACGUUAGUAACUGAACGUCCACUGAUGGUAUCUAACCAGAAAGCCACGGCUAACUACGUGCCAGCAGCCGCGGUAAUACGUAGGUGGCAAGCGUUGUCCGGAUUUAUUGGGCGUAAAGCGAGCGCAGGCGGUUUCUUAAGUCUGAUGUGAAAGCCCCCGGCUCAACCGGGGAGGGUCAUUGGAAACUGGGAGACUUGAGUGCAGAAGAGGAGAGUGGAAUUCCAUGUGUAGCGGUGAAAUGCGUAGAUAUAUGGAGGAACACCAGUGGCGAAGGCGGCUCUCUGGUCUGUAACUGACGCUGAGGCUCGAAAGCGUGGGGAGCAAACAGG